UCUAAAGCACAACUAAAAAUGAAGUAAAAGGUGGGAAAUCAUAGGAUAAAGCCAAGAUAAAAGGAGAGCAACAGCUGAAGGGCCUUAUACUUAAGCUAUGGGUGACAGAGCCUUGCUUUUUCUCUGGGUGAAGACAAACAUUAGCCUCUUUUCCUCAAGAUCCUCGAUUUCUUACUCAGAUCAGAAGACUGCUUAGAAACCAAACAGUGAACAUCUGCCACUAACGUAAAGGUCUACAUAAGAUCUGAAGAGGGACCCAGAACCAGAGAAGAGGUUGGAGCUGAAGAGCAGGAUAGUGCAAAAUCCAAUGAAAUACCACUGGUUCUCAAAGUUGAAGCUGAAACGGGCUCGGGUUUUGGAGCUGAGCCAGAGGGCCCAUGACAGAGUUAGACAGAUCCAACAAAUCUGACGUGUGAUCUAGGAUUCUAGUAGCAUAACCCUGAAAAAGAGCUCUGUAUAGCUUGAAAGCUUGUCUCUCUCUCUCUCUCUCUCUCUCACCAAUAGAAGAUGGUCCAACAAAAGAUAUCAUAUCCCUCACCUUGUCACAUCUAACAAUGUCGGUCAUCUUGUUGCCUUUUUUGGAACUGACACAGCUGGAGUAAACAUGACUCAAGUUCAAAGGCAGGUAGUUUGGCCUUUCUCCACCAACUGUGCCUUCAAAACUGACUGCCUGAGCCACAGGAUCUGGAGUAGUACCCAAGAAAGUUUCAGUUUUCUGGAAACUUUGAGGUGCUUUUGACUUGCUGGAAGAAGUCACAGGAGCCAAAGCAGGGGUCUCAGGCCUUGGAUCAGAUGAGUGCCUGGAGCCUCAUACCUCUUUAGGAAGAAGCACUUACAAUCUCUUCUGCCUCUCCUGGUGAGGUCUGGACAUGAAAAUCCAACAGAUAGAACAUGCAGGAGAGUGUUCCUUAUUCAGGUAAUGUGGUCAUCCAAUGCCAGAAAGACAGCGAGACAUGAAGCGCACCUCUUGAAUACCAGCUCCUUCAGUUCCACCAUAACCCAGAACUGAGGUACCAGCUAUAGAACUCUGUCAGUGAACUAUAAACUACAGCUAUCAAGAUACUAAGAAUGAAGAAAAGCCUAGAUCUGAAUGGACCAGAGCGGUUCAUUUUAUUGUGUCACAGCAGUUGGGAAUAAACUGUAGUAGUAGCGGGGGUGAGACUCACCUAGAACCUCACACUCAAUGUUUAGGGGUGCUGAGGGGAGCUGCAGGAGAGGGAAGGAGUGCUCUAAUGGUAAGAACUGGUUGCACAAGGUUCUACCAUGAGGCACCACAAUACCCAGAUGUGGGAAUAUGCAGAUCCACUUGAACUUUCCCACUUACUCUCAUUUUGCAGAUGGAGAAAGACAGACAUUUAGAGGUUGAAGGUAGAAGUCCCAAAAGCACACGUGACUUAAGAGCUUAAAUUCUAUUGUCAAAAGACCUGGUCCAUGAACACAACGGUUUUGGUUUGGGAUAGUUAAAUUGGUACAAACCCUAGUGUAGAUGCAGUUUUACCAGUUAAAAAGAUGCCUUAUAUUGGUAUAGCUUAUUCCUGUAUAGGAAGGGGAGUAAGCUUUAAGCACUUUUUUAUUAUUUGUAGCACCUAUUAGCCCUAGUCAGCCCAUAAGUGGGUUGUACUGUUUUAGCUGUACCAGUAUAGUUACAGUGCUAUUGUGUGUGCAAACGCUAGUUUCACUGGGACUUAGACCCUUAAAAGUUUGUCAAUUUUGAAGAUUGAGCUUAAGGUGCUCUUGACGUUUUACUUGUGCCUACACCGUGUGUGUUUUUAAAACCUAUUCAAAUCUUAGUGUGGACAAGGCAAGAUGCAGUUUUAACAGUAGUUGGUUGAAGGAAACUAGAGGGUCCCUCCUAGGACUUACCAUUGCCAGUUAACAUGUAGGAAUUGCAUUUUGUCUUGUCCACACAAAGAUUUUAACUGACUUUCCUAAGAAUUUUUGUGUGUGUCUAAGCCUACUUAAGGUGUCACAGAGCAAGUCAGAGCCAGAACCAGGAUUAAAACUGUUCUCUGAGUAGGGGGCUGCUUGAACUAUAGUGCAUUUCAGGCAAGUCACUUAACUUGCCAGUUUAAGUAUUGGUGAAAUGGAACAUUGCCUCCUCUCCAUCUUUGAGCGAUCAGGAAUGGGGUUGGUACAGUACUUUGAAGAGCUAAAGAACGGGUAGAAAGUCCAGUAGAAUUUUGAGGUGCAAAGCACAGCACAGAGAGAGAGUUAGUCUCUAGAUAAGGAUUUUUGUUGCCAUAGUACCAAGGUAGAGUGUUAUUGCAUAGAGAAGGUAUGCAAAAUAAGAGUACUACUGCAGGUGAAUUACCCUCCCCUGUUUCCUCAGAAAAGUUAAAGCAACAUCUCAUGUGAAUAGAUGCACUGAAAAAAAGGGGCUGAUUAAAUCCAAUUUAGUUAUUCUGAUGCACGUUUGUGAGUAACCAGCUCUUAAACUGCUCCCCUCCUCUUUCCUACACAGAAUUACUAAAAACUAGCAUAUUCUUCUCUCUUUCCAGUUUCUGUUCCCCCAAGAAAAAAUUUCUCCUACAGCUACUUAAGAGUGUCUCAAUGUCUUCUUAACCACUAGCCUUAUCCCCCUGCCUAGCUCACUAUCGCUUCCACACCAUUUCUGGACUCAUUCCUGCUGGCUCCCAGCUUUUCAAAGAAGUCAGGACUUGAAAGCAGGGGCAUAGGUCAUGCUGUGCAGGCAGUCCAGGGAGAGGAUGCACUAGCAUUUGACUUUGUCCCUUUGUUUUGCUCUCCUCCAUCAUUGGUGUAAAGGGUUGUAUCCUCAGAAGAUGUUCUUAUAGCAUGCUGGGUACGUACUGCAGAUGUAACCUCUGUCCAAGACAUAGAUCAUUAGCCAUUCAUGCCACUCUAGGAACAUCUUACAUGCUGUUACAGUUGUUGGAAGAGUAUUUGUGGAGACCAUAAAAUGUGACAAAGACAUAACACCCUUAAGUCUUGUAUUGUUCACCAGUCAGAUGGCAACAGGUCUUAACCACUUUCCAGGUGUGCCUAAUCAUGUUGCUUUAAUUCAGAUUGUACAAUUGCCAAAGAAGUUUUACAAACGUUUACUAAGGCAGGGGUCACAAUAUAAUUUUUCUCCCCGACAGUACUGAUUAUCAUCUUUAAAUCUAAGCGUGGUGAUAUAGGCUACAACAGUUCACUGUAUGCAAGGAUCCCUUUCAAAAGAUCAUUUUAAACAGGGAUUGCUUAUCAAUUUGGAAAGACGACUUUUUGAUUUUUAGUAACCUCACACAAGAAAGUGAGUUCUGUAUGAUACAAGUGUUCAAAAGGAAGAGUGAACAGACCCCCCCCCCCACCGUGCUACUGCAUUAAACUGAUUCUUGUAAGAGUUCUGAGUAUCAACCACCUCCAAAGAAUCACUGCUUAAAAAGUGAGAAUUUUAAUUAAUUAGCCUUUAUUUUCAUAAUCACUAAUCACACAAUGCAAUUAAUUUUGCUAGGAAAAAAAAUCAUU